GAGGAAUAUUGGUCAAUGGGCGAGAGCCUGAACCAGCCAAGUCGCGUGAAGGAAGAAGGAUCUAUGGUUCGUAAACUUCUUUUGCAGGGGAAUAAAGUGCAGGACGUGUCCUGUUUUGUAUGUACCCUGAGAAUAAGGAUCGGCUAACUCCGUGCCAGCAGCCGCGGUAAUACGGAGGAUCCGAGCGUUAUCGGGAUUUAUUGGGUUUAAAGGGUGCGUAGGUGGUUUGAUAAGUCAGCGGUGAAAGUUUGCAGCUUAACUGUAAAAAUGCCGUUGAAACUGUCGGACUUGAGUGUAAAUGAGGUAGGCGGAAUGCGUGGUGUAGCGGUGAAAUGCAUAGAUAUCACGCAGAACUCCGACUGCGAAGGCAGCUUACUAAGCUACAACUGACACUGAAGCACGAAAGCGUGGGGAUCAAACA
rnacentral:rRNA from 1 species